GAACUGUGGGGGAUAGCCGGCCUAACGGCCGAGUAAUACCGCAUACGCUCUCAGUGAGGCAUUUCAUUGAGAGGAAACCUACGGGACACUUCGAGGGGCUCGCGGCCUAUCAGCUAGUUGGCGAGGUAACGGCUCACCAAGGCGACGACGGGUAGCUGGUCUGAGAGGAUGGCCAGCCACAUUGGGACUGAGAUACGGCCCAGACUCCUACGGGAGGCAGCAGUGGGGAAUCUUGCGCAAUGGCCUAACGGCUGACGCAGCGACGCCGCGUGUGGGAUGAAGCUCUUCGGAGUGUAAACCACUGUUGCCCGGGACGAAUAGCUCGAUUAAUCGAGCCUGACGGUACCGGGUGAGGAAGCACCGGCUAACUCCGUGCCAGCAGCCGCGGUAAUACGGGGGGUGCAAGCGUUGUCCGGAAUCACUGGGCGUAAAGGGCGCGUAGGUGGUUUGAUAAGGGUGUGGUGAAAGCCCGGGGCUCAACCCCGGGUCUGCCGUGCCGACUGUCAAACUCGAGGACUGUAGAGGCAGACGGAAUUCCGGGUGUAGCGGUGGAAUGCGUAGAGAUCCGGAGGAAGACCGGUGGCGAAGGCGGUCUGCUGGGCAGUUUCUGACACUGAGGCGCGACAGCGUGGGGAGCAAACAGGAUUAGAUACCCUGGUAGUCCACGCCGUAAACGAUGGGUACUAGGUGCCUGGGGGAGCGACCCUCUGGGUGCCGGCGCUAACGCAGGAAGUACCCCGCCUGGGGAGUACGACCGCAAGGUUGAAACUCAAAGGAAUUGACGGGGGCCCGCACAAGCGGUGGAGCAUGUGGUUUAAUUCGACGCAACGCGAAGAACCUUACCUAGGC
rnacentral:rRNA from 1 species